CUUUUCCUGUGGCAGCAGCCUGGCUGAGAGGAGCGUGGCUGUCUCCUCUCUCCGUCAUGGCGUGUGCUCGCCCACUAAUAUCGGUGUACUCCGAAAAGGGGGAGUCAUCUGGCAAAAAUGUCACUUUGCCUGCUGUAUUCAAGGCUCCUAUUCGACCAGAUAUUGUGAACUUUGUUCACACCAACUUGCGCAAAAACAACAGACAGCCCUACGCUGUCAGUGAAUUAGCAGGUCAUCAGACCAGUGCUGAGUCUUGGGGUACUGGCAGAGCUGUGGCUCGAAUUCCCAGAGUUCGAGGUGGUGGGACUCACCGCUCUGGCCAGGGUGCUUUUGGAAACGUAUCCUUUGUUUCACUACCUAAGACUGGUCAGCUCUGAUGGAAUUUAGCAGCCUGGGUCUGGUUUAUUGAUGAUAAUAUGGUGUAAAAAUAUUACUUUUUUUGUCUUGAAGAGAAGGGGCUUCAUUUAUAUGGGGUUAUUUUGCUUGCAAUGAUGUCGUAAUUUGCGUCUUACUCUGUUCUCAGCGACAGUUGCCUGCUGUCAGUAAGCUGGUACAGAAGGUUGACGAAAAUUCUUACUGAGCAAGAAAUAACCUUGUUGUAAUUACUAAAAUUUGAGAAAUGUGAUUCUUGACUGGAAAAAUAGAUGUGUCGUGGAGGCCGAAUGUUUGCACCAACCAAAACCUGGCGCCGUUGGCAUCGUAGAGUGAACACAACCCAAAAACGAUAUGCCAUCUGUUCUGCCUUGGCUGCUUCAGCCCUACCAGCACUGGUCAUGUCUAAAGGUCAUCGUAUUGAGGAAGUUCCUGAACUUCCUUUGGUAGUCGAAGAUAAAGUUGAAGGUUACAAGAAGACCAAGGAAGCUGUUUUGCUCCUUAAGAAACUUAAAGCCUGGAAUGAUAUCAAAAAGGUCUAUGCCUCUCAGCGAAUGAGAGCUGGCAAAGGCAAAAUGAGAAACCGUCGCCGUAUCCAGCGCAGGGGCCCGUGCAUCAUCUAUAAUGAGGAUAAUGGUAUCAUCAAGGCCUUCAGAAACAUCCCUGGUAAUUAAACUGCUUACAUACAUUGACUAGGUAUACUCUGCAAGUCUACUCAGCUUUUGUUAUGAUGAGAUUCCACUUACGGUCCGUGUUUCUGAAACACAUGAUUUUGUGGAAGUUCUGAUUUAUGGCUGAAAGAGUUGCACCAUUGAUGGUUGAAACUUCGUAAUUAAUAAGUUCUCAGGUACCUUUUAUAGCUCUUAAGCCAUAAAGAUGAUUUGUGUUUCUUUUGUUGAAAUACAGGCUCCCUAAUUUUUCUUUGCCUUUAAAAGGAAUUACUCUGCUUAAUGUAAGCAAGCUGAACAUUUUGAAGCUUGCUCCUGGUGGGCAUGUGGGACGUUUCUGCAUUUGGACUGAAAGUGCUUUCCGGAAGUUAGAUGAAUUGUAUGGCACUUGGCGUAAAGCUGCUUCUCUCAAGAGUAACUACAAUCUUCCCAUGCACAAGAUGAUUAAUACAGAUCUUAGCAGAAUCUUGAAAAGCCCAGAGAUCCAAAGAGCCCUUCGAGCACCACGCAAGAAGAUUCAUCGCAGAGUCCUAAAGAAGAACCCACUGAAAAACUUGAGAAUCAUGUUGAAGCUAAACCCAUAUGCAAAGACCAUGCGCCGGAACACCAUUCUUCGCCAGGCCAGGAAUCACAAGCUCCGGGUGGAUAAGGCAGCUGCUGCAGCAGCAGCACUACAAGCCAAAUCAGAUGAGAAGGCGGCGGUUGCAGGCAAGAAGCCUGUGGUAGGUAAGAAAGGAAAGAAGGCUGCUGUUGGUGUUAAGAAGCAGAAGAAGCCUCUGGUGGGAAAAAAAGCAGCAGCUACCAAGAAACCAGCCCCUGAAAAGAAGCCUGCAGAAAAGAAACCUACUACAGAGGAAAAGAAGCCUGCUGCAUAAACUCUUAAAUUUGAUUAUUCCAUAAAGGUCAAAUCAUUUUGGACAGCUUCUUUUGAAUAAAGACCUGAUUAUACAGGCAGUGAGAAA
rnacentral:sRNA from 1 species